ACGGGAGGCAGCAGUGGGGAAUAUUGCACAAUGGGCGAAAGCCUGAUGCAGCAACGCCGCGUGAGCGAUGAAGGUCUUCGGAUCGUAAAGCUCUGUCUUCAGGGACGAUAAUGACGGUACCUGAGGAGGAAGCCACGGCUAACUACGUGCCAGCAGCCGCGGUAAUACGUAGGUGGCAAGCGUUGUCCGGAUUUACUGGGCGUAAAGGGAGCGUAGGCGGACUUUUAAGUGAGAUGUGAAAUACCCAGGCUCAACCUGGGGGCUGCAUUUCAAACUGGAAGUCUAGAGUGCAGGAGAGGAGAGUGGAAUUCCUAGUGUAGCGGUGAAAUGCGUAGAGAUUAGGAAGAACACCAGUGGCGAAGGCGACUCUCUGGACUGUAACUGACGCUGAGGCUCGAAAGCGUGGGGAGCAAACAGGAUUAGAUACCCUGGUA
rnacentral:rRNA from 1 species